UCGAACAGAACAAGGGCGACCAGGAGGUUCUCCAUCAAACCCUAUCACAUACAAAAUUCACAAAAUGAAGGUUUAAAUCAAGUCCAAAUCAAAAUCUGAAUAUAGAUUAGUGAUCACCUCGACGAAGGGAUCAUAAGGCAAGGAGUCCGGAUCGUCUAGCGGAUAAGCCGGAGGGGAUUUGCGUUUAAAGGGCGUGCUCUAAAGGUGUGUUUAAACUUCGUACGGAUGGAAAUCAAGCGUAAAUCAAGAACCGAACACACACGACUUUUGAAGCUUCCGCGUCUAUUUAAUCUUCGUUUAAGUCUAUGUUAGUGUCGUAAACAAUUAACAUGUUACAUUAGGAUGUUAUAACUAGAUGGGUGUUAUUUGAACAAGAAUGUUAAGUAAACCUUUGUUCCAUUUGGUAUAACUUAAUGAAAUGAGGUAUUUUGUUUGAAA